rnacentral:rRNA from 1 species
UACGUAGGGUGCAAGCGUUGUCCGGAAUUAUUGGGCGUAAAGAGCUCGUAGGCGGUUUGUUGCGUCGGCUGUGAAAACCUGAGGCUCAACCUCAGGCCUGCAGUCGAUACGAGCAGACUAGAGUGUUGCAGGGGAGACUGGAAUUCCUGGUGUAGCGGUGAAAUGCACAGAUAUCGAGAGGAACACCUGCGGCGAAGGCGGGUUGCUGGGCUGAUACUGACGCUGAGGCGCGAAAGCCAGGGGAGCGAACGGG